rnacentral:tRNA from 1 species
AAGGGAGACCUAAUUCAGGUAGGAGACGAAAAAAAAGUAGUCCCAACCAAGAAUCAAUCCCAAAAGGUCGGAGCGAGGCGAAAUUGGCUUUCAAACUAGGUUCUGGGUUCACACAAGACCUGAAUCAGAAACAAGGGCUAUUAGCUCAGGUGGUUAGAGCGCACCCCUGAUAAGGGUGAGGUCCCUGGUUCGAGUCCAGGAUGGCCCACCUGCACAGGUGGCAAAAACAAGAGAAGCGAGGAAUCAGCACCUUAUCUUAUCUAUAUAUAUAUAGGAGAGAAUGCUGGCUCUGAGUAAAGAGUCCAGAGGAACCUUGAAAACUGCAUAGAGCUAGGUGAAAAAGCCAAAAAAGAAGACCGCAA